AAGAGUUAAAAUACGAAGUAUUAUAGUCACGUGAUACAUCCCCUGCGUCAGGAAGUGGUCCGACGUGAUAAACCGAACGGUCCGGCCGGAGGACAAGGAAGCGUGGAAGAAGAACCGAAGCCACCGAAGCAACGUUCGCGGGAAGUCUAACCCACAGUGGUCUAACCGCUUCAAGCACGUUGCAGAGUCGAGGCCAGUUGAGCGGCCGGAAUUUUACGAACGAUUAUGCAAGCGUACGUCUUGAGGACGACCAUGAGCCACAUAUCAUCUCAAAUUUCUGCCCGUCAAGCCUUGUGACGAAACGGAAUCGGACUUCUUCAAGGCGCGGAUCCUAAAGUUGUUUGGAUCGCAGAGUGACGCGGAAACCCAGUGACAGUAAGCGGGUGCUAGUACCUCCGACGAGAUGAGUGACUGCCCGGGAGGGCUGGAGGAAGCUUGUAUGAGAUAGCUGGCCCGAGCCCGAACCAGGCCAAUCAACGUGCUGGCCCGAGCCCGGCCCGGGCCCACAGUCAAAAGUCAGAGCCCAUCCCAGGCCUGGGCUUUCGGCUCAGCAAAGUCUGCGGAUCUGGUUAUGCUUCCUGUACGAGACAGAUCACGAAGCGGUUGCUGACUGACCAGUUGGGGUGAAAAUUUUUGUGGGAAGGACGUAAGAGAAAGUUGACAUUCAGGAACCUUCACCUUGCUGAGUGCAUCAUAAAUGCAGUGCAGAGCUGCCAUACAUGUGAAGACUUCAAGGUAGAAACCAUGGUCACGGAUUAACUUCGCCACGCACCUGCCUGACAUCAGUCAUCUCAAAUGGAACAUUCUGCACCACAGGAGAGGGAGAUGUGAACUGCCUUAAGUGGGCCUUGAAUGCGCUGAGCUUUUUAUUAUGUUUAUCAGACAUUUUUUUUAAGCAAAGUAUCCUGCAUUGUUCAGCCGUCCGUUAUCGUGCAGCGGGCUCAGUUCGGCAAACACGACCAGCGGCCGGGUGGGAGCAUCGCCGACUACAUCGCCGAGCUUCGUCGACUGUCGGAGCACUGCGACUUCGGGUUGACGCUGGACGAUGUGCUCCGAGACAGGUUGGUCUGCGGUCUACGGGAAGCUUCAAUGGAUUCCACGUUAUUCAAGAUGUCAACCGACGAGAUCAUGGAGCUACAGCGAACGGAGGAACUCCAAAACAGCGAGCGCAGUGCCGCGCCAGACCCGGACCCUUUGGGGCCCGCUGAGGAGCCCCACUCCUGGUUGGGGAGACCAACAGAGGGCCGACCCCGGGAGGUGGACCCUGCCGUCCUGGACUUCCUCCGGGGGCACUGGGGCUCCGAUGGGCGCUCUGAGCGGUGCAGGGCGGCCCUGACGAGCUUCCCGCGACUGCGGUUCCCCUUCGCAACGGUGCCGGAGUUGAAUCUGGAAAUGAAGGCACUGGCAAAGGAGAGGAGCCUCCACUCAGAGGGAGGCUCGAAAGGGCCCGCGAAUGUCACGGCGCGGGACCAGGUGCUGUGGGAGGUCCAAGAUUCCGGGCUGCGGCUAUGGGGCCACUUGUAGGCAUAUCUUGGAGAUCGGCCUCUCGGAGGAGGCCAUCAACAAGACGGGGGCGGACCACUUGGCGGCAGCUGCCGCCUAUCUGGGGCAGCUCUUUGCGUCGCUCACCCGUGAGCGCCGGGAGGGGGUGAUCGCACGAGUCGUCCCAGACCUCCGCCAGAUGGUGGCCCAUGACGGCGGGGAUGAGGGAUCCCCCUUGCUGUUCGGGGAGGGCUUCCUGGGGCAGCUCCGAACAACGAUGAAAGUGACCCUCAAGGUCCUCCGGGAAGCCUGCCAACAGUCCCCUCCCGCCGCAGACCCGGCAGUCAAGAGGCCCCGCAGCUCGGCUGCCCCGAGGACCAGUGCCUAGAGCCGGAGUGAGGACCAGCAACCCUUUCACAGGGGGCCAUCUUCCCGAGGGGGCCUACAUCAACCAAGGACAUCAAGAUAAAUCUAAACCCGCACCUCUUAGCACAACCGCCCGCGGGCCGACUGGCAUAUUGCCGCGAAGCGUGGAGGUUACUCACCCACGAUGCAUGGGUCCUUCAGGCAAUACAGGGGUACAAGCUGGAUUAAAACUUUGGUUUGGGCGAGUUGGUUCAUACUGAAAUAAAAGGUUGAAAAGUGCAAACAAAACAGGGACAAUAGAGGCGCAAGACGACAAGACGGGCGCUAACUCACAACUGAUUUUAUUAGAAAAACAAUGUCACCUAUAUACGCAAAAGCGUCUGCUACCCUGCAAUACAAUAAUGCCACUCUCACAGGCAACUAUCUAGAAAAGUUACUUUUUUUUUACAUGCUAACGCAGUUGUUAUCUUUCCUUUUGAUGUAAAACGCUUCUGUAAUUUCUGUCUCGGUUUUGGCCAUUGCUUUUUUUUUUUAACUUUGUUUCAGCCAAAAGAGCAGUGGUCAGUAAGAUGUCCCACCGCGUUGUUGCGCACAGUAAGAUUAAGUUCCCAUGCCCUAUCGUUAAAACGGCGCCCAGUUUACCCGAUGUAGACUUUUCCGCAGCUUAACAGUAUCUCGUAUACGAUAUUGGUGACACAUUCAGUGUACUGCACUGCGUGCUUCGUAGAGCAGAGCGCUUUUUUCUGCCGUGUAAGCAUCGGAUAUUUUUUAGAGCUUGCAAGGGCCCGAGAAAACAAUGUUUACACCGUAUCUGCUAGCUAUCUUUUUGUAGGUUGUUUUGUUGUUGUUUUUUUUUUCUCUAAUUUUUAUUCAAUAAUGUAUAAUGAUGACAUUGAUUGCCUUAUUCGCGUGUGCUAAAAUGACUAGAAAUGUAUGCCUUUAUAUAACAUUAUGUACCCCCUCCUACCACAUCUCCCGAAGGAGAUAGUAGUAUCAAUAAAUAAAAAAAAAAUAAAAAAAAAUAUUGUGGGACGCUUUAUGCCAA
rnacentral:lncRNA from 1 species